GGCGGCGUGCCUAAUACAUGCAAGUAGAACGCUGAAGUCUGGUGCUUGCACUAGACGGAUGAGUUGCGAACGGGUGAGUAACGCGUAGGUAACCUGCCUCAUAGCGGGGGAUAACUAUUGGAAACGAUAGCUAAUACCGCAUAACAGUAUUUACCGCAUGGUAGAUAUUUGAAAGGAGCAAUUGCUUCACUAUGAGAUGGACCUGCGUUGUAUUAGCUAGUUGGUGAGGUAACGGCUCACCAAGGCUUCGAUACAUAGCCGACCUGAGAGGGUGAUCGGCCACACUGGGACUGAGACACGGCCCAGACUCCUACGGGAGGCAGCAGUAGGGAAUCUUCGGCAAUGGGGGCAACCCUGACCGAGCAACGCCGCGUGAGUGAAGAAGGUUUUCGGAUCGUAAAGCUCUGUUGUAAGAGAAGAACUGUGAGAAGAGUGGAAAGUUUCUCACUUGACGGUAUCUUACCAGAAAGGGACGGCUAACUACGUGCCAGCAGCCGCGGUAAUACGUAGGUCCCGAGCGUUGUCCGGAUUUAUUGGGCGUAAAGCGAGCGCAGGCGGUUUGAUAAGUCUGAAGUAAAAGGCUGUGGCUUAACCAUAGUACGCUUUGGAAACUGUCAAACUUGAGUGCAGAAGGGGAGAGUGGAAUUCCAUGUGUAGCGGUGAAAUGCGUAGAUAUAUGGAGGAACACCGGUGGCGAAAGCGGCUCUCUGGUCUGUAACUGACGCUGAGGCUCGAAAGCGUGGGGAGCGAACAGGAUUAGAUACCCUGGUAGUCCACGCCGUAAACGAUGAGUGCUAGGUGUUGGGUCCUUUCCGGGACUCAGUGCCGCAGCUAACGCAUUAAGCACUCCGCCUGGGGAGUACGACCGCAAGGUUGAAACUCAAAGGAAUUGACGGGGGCCCGCACAAGCGGUGGAGCAUGUGGUUUAAUUCGAAGCAACGCGAAGAACCUUACCAGGUCUUGACAUCCCGAUGACCGCCCUAGAGAUAGGGUUUCUCUUCGGAGCAUCGGUGACAGGUGGUGCAUGGUUGUCGUCAGCUCGUGUCGUGAGAUGUUGGGUUAAGUCCCGCAACGAGCGCAACCCCUAUUGUUAGUUGCCAUCAUUCAGUUGGGCACUCUAGCGAGACUGCCGGUAAUAAACCGGAGGAAGGUGGGGAUGACGUCAAAUCAUCAUGCCCCUUAUGACCUGGGCUACACACGUGCUACAAUGGCUGGUACAACGAGUCGCAAGUCGGUGACGGCAAGCUAAUCUCUUAAAGCCAGUCUCAGUUCGGAUUGUAGGCUGCAACUCGCCUACAUGAAGUCGGAAUCGCUAGUAAUCGCGGAUCAGCACGCCGCGGUGAAUACGUUCCCGGGCCUUGUACACACCGCCCGUCACACCACGAGAGUUUGUAACACCCGAAGUCGGUGAGGUAACCUUUUAGGAGCCAGCCGCCUAAGGUGGGAUAGAUGAUUGGGGUGAAGUCGUAACAAGG
rnacentral:rRNA from 1 species